AAUGGACGAAAGUCUGACGGAGCAACGCCGCGUGAGUGAUGAAGGUUUUCGGAUCGUAAAGCUCUGUUGCCAGGGAAGAACGUCCGUUAGAGUAACUGCUAACGGAGUGACGGUACCUGAGAAGAAAGCCCCGGCUAACUACGUGCCAGCAGCCGCGGUAAUACGUAGGGGGCGAGCGUUGUCCGGAAUUAUUGGGCGUAAAGCGCGCGCAGGCGGCUGUUUAAGUCUGGUGUUUAAUCCUGGGGCUCAACCCCGGGUCGCACUGGAAACUGGACAGCUUGAGUGCAGAAGAGGAGAGUGGAAUUCCACGUGUAGCGGUGAAAUGCGUAGAGAUGUGGAGGAACACCAGUGGCGAAGGCGACUCUCUGGGCUGUAACUGACGCUGAGG
rnacentral:rRNA from 1 species